AUGAGCAAAUCGGCAAGCGAUCCAUGCAACGCUGCACAUUUUGAACUCCUCCUCAUGGCGCAGCUUCAAUUCCUGGAAGGUCUUGAGCAACCCUCGCAGCAUGAGCAAACCAGCUGUAUCGUCCACCCAGACUUGCUCCAGCACACCUGCAAUCGUCUCCAUAACCUGCAGCUGGUGUUUCUGCAACGCCUCCUGCUUUGCUACUUUCUCCUUCUCCCCCACCAAACUAGCCACCCUCUCCUGCUCCUGUCGCAGCUGCCCAUCCAACCUGAUGAUAUCAGCCUUAGUCUCGUCAACAAGCACCCGCACAUUGUACUGCAACUCUGGCAUUGGCACAUCAUUCACCUCCAUCUCCUGUUCAUCACUGAGCCCCUUCAAGUCUGUCAGCACACGAACCUGAGGCCCUCGCAUGUCAAUCACCUUCUGGACAACCGUGGGCUGCUCAUCCUGUUCCUGCUCGGCGUGCAUAGCCAGCAACUCAUUCUUGGUCAGGACCUGAUCUCUCAUCAAGCUGGCCUUCUUGGACCACCGUUGCUUUUCCUUCUUGGCACACGGCGGAGGAGGUGGGGGUGGCAGGUUCUCCUUGGCAGUGAAGGGCUUGGCCUCCUUAAACUCCUCGACACUGCCAAGUCCGGCAUUUUUGCAGCGCGGGAUGGUCUCCAGCGGUGCGGUGAUUCCCUGAGCAUUCUUGCCGAGGCCCAUUCCUCUCUUGUGCCCCAUCAUAGCCAUCAUCUUAGCCACCUUCGUGUUGGACUCCACGCUGCCAGGGGCCGGCGCUGGUUUUCCAUCAUCCGCCCCGGCCGCCGACGACGCCUGGCGGCGGCGUUUGGCCGCCUCGUGCUGCCGCUCCUUCUCCUCCCGCCUGGCACGCGCACCCUCCGCGAUCCGCUGCCCGAACCCCGUGGGCAGGUCCUGGUUGUCCUCCGCGUCCUCCUCCGCGGCGGCGGCGGUGCGCAAGGAGAACGCGGCCUGGCCAAGCCCAGGCCUCUGCUCCUCCCGCUCCACCCCCUCGGGCAUUCCCUUGGAGACGAACUGCACGGGCCUGGUGAAGUCAGACUCGAGCUCGUCCCUUCUGCGCUUGCGGGGUCGCGACCCCUCGUCCUCCUCGGAGUCGUAAUCGUAGUCGGAGUCCCCCUCGGCGAAGACGCCGUAGAGGGCAUCGUCGCGGGUCUGGAGCGCGCGCUGGCGGCGGCCCUCGUAGAAGAAGUCCCCGUCGCGGCCGGAGCGGCCGCCCAGGAAGUCGCCGUCCAUGUCGAAGCGGUCCAUGCCCUCCGCGUCCUCCUCCAUGGCCCCGCCGCUCUACGCCUCCUCGAUCCCCAAAUCAAAACGUAG
rnacentral:rRNA from 1 species